GGACAAUUCUGAGGUAAAUAUGAUACUUGUAAUAAAAAAAGUUAAAUUCAUUCAAAUCAAUGUUUCUCGUUAGUAUGAAAUAUGACCAUGUGAAAUAUGUUGUUUCCGGUGACUGUUAUAGAGAAAUUCAACCACUGGAAAUUACAUUAAAUUAAAUUUACUGCCGCUGCAGCCAGAUACAUAUGUUGCUUACAUGUUAACACAUCCCUAAUGUAAUUUACUAGUGCUAUAAUUACGUUUCACUGAAAAAGCCAGUUUUGGCUGCAUAGUGAGUUUGUUUGCUCUUAAACUUUGAGUGCCCUUAGCUACUUUCAAUUAAAUAGGUUUCGAUUGCAGUGACCCAGUGGUUUUAAAUUGUAGCCAUAAUACUUUCAUUUAAGUUCAAUAUUUAAUGACCAAGUCAACCCCUCUUCUUACACUUAAGUCAAGGUUUGUGAUACGAGUCUUGAUUUUAAAUAUAAUAUAAAUAAAUAGACUACAUUAAUAUGUACACUUCCAAAAUUAACAAAUCCCGGGCCAUUAUAUACUCUAGAAAAAGAGCCAGAGCCCAGUGCAGAGCAACAAUUGAAUGUGGGCGUAUUUCCUUCUACAGAAGACAGCGUUUGAAAUAAAGAGACAACACUUUUUGCUGAGCCAAAGUCCAAGCUAUCUCUCCCCCUCACAUUUUUUUGAGUUGCUCAAAUUAGCCCUCCUUGGAUGAACCUCACGCCUUGCAAACACAUUUAAUGUAUAAGACACCGUAAGUGCAUUAGCCUAAUCCAUCCCACAAGGCUUGCUCUGCUCAAAGCAUUUCAGUGAGCGCAUGGUGGAGGAGCAUAGCUGAAGAUGGAGCUGCACACACAAGACCUCCAAUCCUGUCUUUGACGGAAAUUAAGAUACUGCCAAAUAUCGAAUUAUUUGGAGGACUGGUUGAGGACAAUGUUGAGAUUCAGUUUGCAAGUGUGGAUGUUAUUGUUGCUUCAUCCAGGUAAUGUUUAGAUGUACAUUUGGGCUGAGGUGUCUAUCAAGUGUAUAGAACAUUGCAAAACAUGCAACAUGCAUCUGCAAUCACAGUUCUUUUACAACUGUCUAGAUUUUCAAAAGCAUUUGUAUUAAGUAGUUCAUUUUAUGUAUUUUAAAUGUGGUUCUGGGUUCUCGUCUUUAUAGAUCA
ensembl:lncRNA